ACGCUCGACACCUACGGAGGCAGCAGUAGGGAAUCUUCCACAAUGGGCGCAAGCCUGAUGGAGCAACACCGCGUGAGUGAAGAAGGGUUUCGGCUCGUAAAGCUCUGUUGUUGGAGAAGAACGUGCGUGAGAGUAACUGUUCACGCAGUGACGGUAUCCAACCAGAAAGUCACGGCUAACUACGUGCCAGCAGCCGCGGUAAUCUGAGCGGGCUGGCAAGGC
rnacentral:rRNA from 1 species